UAUUAUGGCACCCUCAACGGAGUUGGGGUGACAUAUUGUUAUUCUACGUUUCUUUUUUUUCUUAUUUUUUUUCUUGCAACAAAUUUUGUCCAGGGGAUUUCUUGAAAUCCAAUGGACCAAUGUCGAUGGAACUCUACUAUAAUAAGGACCCCACGUGCAGAGUUGCAGUAAGCAUGGAAUGGUUCAAGAUGGCUACCGUUUCCAUGGAAACAGAACAAAUGUGAAAAAAUCUAGUUUUUGGUUUUGGUGAACUGUUUGGAUAUGCUUUAACUCAGAAUCAUUAUAUUUUAAUACAAUGGAGGUGCCCACUAUAUACAGGUUUUGGAUGAUUUUGGCUCACAUUGGAACUACUCUGUUGCCAUGGAAACUACACCAAAAAUUCCAAAAAUCUCAAAGUGCUCCAAAUUUCCUGAAACUUCACAGUAACGAUGAGCAACAUUGUAAGAUGUG
rnacentral:lncRNA from 1 species